AACGGCCGUACCAUGCUGAAUAUACCGGUUCUCGUUAGAUCACCGAAGUUAAGCAUCAUUGGGCGCGGUCAGUACUUGGGUGGGUGACCACUUGGGAACACUGCGUGCCGUU
rnacentral:rRNA from 1 species